rnacentral:rRNA from 1 species
UACGUAGGGGGCUAGCGUUGUCCGGAUUUAUUGGGCGUAAAGAGCGUGUAGGCGGCCAGGUAGGUCUGGUGUGAAAACUCGAGGCUUAACCUCGAGAUGUCAUCGGAAACCAUCUGGCUAGAGUCCGGAAGAGGAGACUGGAAUUCAUGGUGUAGCAGUGAAAUGCGUAGAGAUCAUGAGGAAGACCAGUGGCGAAGGCGGGUCUCUGGACAGUUCCUGACACUGAGACACGAAGGCCAGGGGAGCAAACGGG